GCUGGGUGUGGUGGCGCAUGCCUGUUAUCCCAGCUACUUGGGAGGCUGAGGCAGAAGAAUUGCUUGAACCCGGGAGGCAGAGGUUGCAGUGAGCCGAGAUUGCACCACUGCACUCCAGCCUGGGCGACAUAGCAAGACUCUGUCUCAA
ensembl:misc_RNA Metazoa_SRP Metazoan signal recognition particle RNA